CGUUAUGGCGGCUAUGUGUGGGAGGCCUUCGGGUCUGCCGGCUCUGGACCGGUCUUGCACACCUGCGCAUAGCUGCCACCUCA
rnacentral:antisense_RNA from 1 species